rnacentral:rRNA from 1 species
UACGGAGGAUUCGAGCGUUAUCCGGAUUUAUUGGGUUUAAAGGGUGCGUAGGCGGGUUUGUAAGUCAGUGGUGAAAGUUUCCGGCUUAACCGGGAGAAUGCCGUUGAGACUGCAAAUCUUGAGUGCAAGCGAGGUAAGUGGAAUGUGUUGUGUAGCGGUGAAAUGCAUAGAUAUAACACAGAACACCGAUUGCGAAGGCAGCUUACUAGUAUGUAACUGACGCUGAGGCACGAAAGCGUGGGGAGCAAACAGGAUUAGAUACCCUGGUAGUCCACGCAGUAAACGAUGAAUACUAGCUGUAUGCGAUAGACAGUAUGCGGCGGAGCGAAAGCAUUAAGUAUUCCACCUGGGGAGUACGUCGGCAACGAUGAA